rnacentral:rRNA from 1 species
UGUGUAUCAGUACAUGCAUAUCAAUAAGCGGAGGAAAAGAAACUAACUAGGAUUCCCUUAGUAACGGCGAGUGAAGCGGGAAGAGCUCAAAUUUGAAAUCUUCAAGGUUUACCUUGACGAAUUGUAGUUUAAAGAAGUGUUUUCUGUUGAAGUUUUGGUAAAAGUUCUUUGGAAUAGGACAUCAUAGAGGGUGAGAAUCCCGUAUUUGACCAUUAUUUUCAGCUGUGUGAUACACUUUCAAAGAGUCGGAUUGUUUGGGAAUGCAGUCCAAAAUGGGUGGUAAAUUUCAUCUAAAGCUAAAUAUUGGCGAGAGACCGAUAGCGAACAAGUACCGUGAGGGAAAGAUGAAAAGAACUUUGAAAAGAGAGUUAAACAGUACGUGAAAUUGUCAAAAGGGAAGCGUUUGACACCAGUGUUGUUUUCUCGAAAAUCAAUUAAAAAGAGCCGGAUUUUGUGUUGUUAUGACCUUUAUCAAGCUUACUUCACUCUUUUCUUGUUCUUUUUAAUGCACUUUUCGUUUAACAAGUCAACAUCAGUUUCUUUUGUUGUAAAAGAGUCAUUGGAAGGUGGCUUUUCUUUCGGAGAAAAGUGUUUAUAGCCUUUGCUCUCUGCAAUCGGAGAGAUUGAAGGUCUGCAGCGUAGAUCCUUCGGGGUUAGAUACAUUUGUGCUAAGCUAUAGUUCUUUAUAGACAACUUGUUGACUAUAAUCAAUCCUGUAACUUACUCGCUUAUGCUAUUUUACCUACGCUUAGGAUGUUGACAGCAGUAUAGACUGU